rnacentral:rRNA from 1 species
GGAAUAUUGGACAAUGGGCGAAAGCCUGAUCCAGCAAUGCCGCGUGAGUGACGAAGGCCUUAGGGCUGUAAAGCUCUUUUACCAGGGAUGAUAAUGACAGUACCUGGAGAAUAAGCUCCGGCUAACUCCGUGCCAGCAGCCGCGGUAAUACGGAGGGAGCUAGCGUUGUUCGGAAUUACUGGGCGUAAAGAGUACGUAGGCGGUGAUUCAAGUCAGAGGUGAAAGCCUGGAGCUCAACUCCAGAACUGCCUUUGAAACUAGAUCGCUAGAAUUAUGGAGAGGUUAGUGGAAUUCCGAGUGUAGAGGUGAAAUUCGUAGAUAUUCGGAAGAACACCAGUGGCGAAGGCGACUAACUGGACAUAUAUUGACGCUGAGGUACGAAAGCUAGGGGAGCGAGUGGGAUUAGAUACCCGAG